AGUGAACGCUGGCGGUAGGCCUAACACAUGCAAGUCGAACGGCAGCACAGUAAGAGCUUGCUCUUACGGGUGGCGAGUGGCGGACGGGUGAGGAAUACAUCGGAAUCUACUUUUUCGUGGGGGGUAACGUAGGGAAACUUACGCUAAUACCGCAUACGACCUACGGGUGAAAGUAGGGGAUCUUCGGACCUUGCGCGAUUGAAUGAGCCGAUGUCGGAUUAGCUAGUUGGCGGGGUAAAGGCCCACCAAGGCGACGAUCCGUAGCUGGUCUGAGAGGAUGAUCAGCCACACUGGAACUGAGACACGGUCCAGACUCCUACGGGAGGCAGCAGUGGGGAAUAUUGGACAAUGGGCGCAAGCCUGAUCCAGCCAUACCGCGUGGGUGAAGAAGGCCUUCGGGUUGUAAAGCCCUUUUGUUGGGAAAGAAAAGCAGCAGGUUAAUACCCCGCUGUUCUGACGGUACCCAAAGAAUAAGCACCGGCUAACUUCGUG
rnacentral:rRNA from 1 species